rnacentral:rRNA from 1 species
GAUGAACGCUGGCGGCGUGCCUAAUACAUGCAAGUCGAGCGAACAGAUAAGGAGCUUGCUCCUUUGACGUUAGCGGCGGACGGGUGAGUAACACGUGGAUAACCUACCUAUAAGACUGGGAUAACUUCGGGAAACCGGAGCUAAUACCGGAUAACAUAUUGAACCGCAUGGUUCAAUAGUGAAAGGCGGCUUUGCUGUCACUUAUAGAUGGAUCCGCGCCGUAUUAGCUAGUUGGUAAGGUAACGGCUUACCAAGGCAACGAUACGUAGCCGACCUGAGAGGGGGAUCGGCCCCACUGGGACUGUGACACGGGCCCGACUCCUACGGGAGGCAGCAGUAGGGAAAAUUCCCCAAUGGGGGAAAGCCCGAGGGAGCAAAGCCGCGGGAGUGAUGAAGGGGUUCGGAUCUUAAAAAUCUGUUUUAAGGGAAAAAAAAAAGUGUAAGGAAAACUGCACAUCUUGACGGGGCCUAAUCAGAAAGACCCGGCUCACUACGUG